AACUUUGAGUGUAGUUCCACCCUUUUAUGGUCCUUGAUUUCUACUCUUCGCUCGUUUCAAAAUUUUACGAGUGGGUUUUUUUGGGGGAAAAGUGUAAAUUAUUUAUAAUGGUUAGUUCGUGCUCUUGCUUUGGAGACUCAUUCAGUUUCAAAAUGUUACGUUUUAAGUUUGGAAAAGCAUCAAUAGUUUGCAACCAUAAAAUUCCUCCUUUAAAAUGAUUAAAUUUGAUACUAGAGUUUUGAGACUGAACGAAACCUUUAAUCCACCUCAAAAGUUUACUUCUAGUCCCAGCGUUUGAAGACGAGGAGUGCAUUUUCACUCAGCAGCCGAGAAGGGCGGGUCAACUCUUCAGUAAUUUUCACCUAUCCAGCCUAAAUUUUAUCAUGAAGCAUUAAGUGACUAGUGUGACCGUUGGUCGAGGAUGAUCCUGCUUGGAAGUGCGAGCUCUUGGAUUGCUUCCUCUUUGAGACUACUAUACCAUGGAGUUACAGCAAGUUUACAUCGACUCGUGAAUUAACUACGACAGCUGCAAUUGACCUAGAGAGGCUUGCUUAGAGUGGAGAUCCUGAGGACUUUUCUGAUAUUGGGGGUUAUUAGUGAGGUCGCAUCAUCGGUCUUCAUAGGGACGGAUACCUCGCUUAAAUGACAAGAAGCAAUAAGACAACCUACGAUCCUGAGCCAUUUUCUCAAAUACAUAUUUCAGUGAAAGUUCUGUUUAUGUAAAAUAAAUAUUUAAAAUCG